rnacentral:lncRNA from 1 species
CACGUGCCUCUGCUUAUCCCACCUUCUCCCUUCCUCAUCAUUGCCUCUCCUUAUUUUUUUCACUCUUAUUUUUUUUGUCAUCUCUUUCUUUUUUAUUGUUACAACUUACAUAUUUAAUCAUUUUCAUUUCGUUAUUCACAUGUUACAUUAUUUUACCAAAGUUUUCCUUGCGCCAAAAACUUAUGGACUAUCUAGAUAAAUGAAAAUCAAAUUUUAUCUAUCUAGGUAUCGAUUUUGAAAAAAUAACUUAAUUUUAGAUAUUUUUAUUAACUCAUAUAUAUAUAUAAUCCUUACCUUUUUACAAAAAAUACUUACUGCGUUUUAAAUUUUACAUACGAGAUAAAUGUAACUUCCAAAGAAAAGUAUAUAAAUAUAUAGCCAAUUAAACAAAAACGUGAUAUAGAUAUUUAUUUAUUAGUGUAGUUAUACAAAUAUAUAAUUCAUAUAUUUGUGAAAAUGACAUGACAUUAACGAGAGUGUAAAUACUAUUGUUGGAUUAUGAAAUCGCAGGGUCCACAUCGGUUUACGUCCAACUCAUGGUAGGGAUGAAUUUGCCAUUCCCGUUCUCUUCCUCAAAUACACUGCUAGUCUAGUUUACCUUUAUGUUAUCGUUCUUACCUCUUAAAACAUUUGAAAUUGUUGACAUUUCAUAUAAGUUACAACUUUAUAUAAAAUACUUUAAAAUAAGAAAAUCAUUAAAAGAAAGUUUGAAUUUUAAGCAGCCAUAUUGUCCAUACACCUCUUUUAUCAAGUGGGUUAUAAUAUCAAAGGGCGACAAUGAAAUCGACAAUAACCUCUAUUUUCGUAUCGUCUUUAAUGAGUGUACACACUUAUGAAGAGAGUAAGCAAAAUAUAUGCAUUUGUGAAUACUAUAAGUAGAUAGAAAUUUAUAUAUGUAUAUAUAAUUAUAUAUUCAUGGAGGAACGGUGAAGGAUACUAACAAAUAACAAAUAUUUAUGUUAUCUAUUUUACCAAAAAUAAAUAAAAAAUAACAAAUGUCUAACUGUAUAAUCCGAAUAAAAAUAUAUAGAAAUAUACGGUGUUUACUGUUUACCCAUCUAUGCUACCUAUUAAUAGAGAAAAGUGGAAGCCUGCUAAUAACAAAUCAUUGAAAGUAGAUUCCUUUCAAAGAAUGUUAAACUUGAUCAUCUCUUUAUCCAAAUAAUUACUUUGACUGAAAUAAUGUAGAUUGCAUUUUACCCCCCUUCUUUUGAAGUUGCUAAAAACAACAUAUAUAUCUACAUAAUAUAUGACAAAUUAUGUUGAUUUUGUGUAGUGCUAAAAGUUAGGGAGCCUAACAUUAACUAUAUAAUCUAGAGAAAUAGGUUAUGUAUUUGAUGUUCUGGUCACUUUUAACCGUUUAAGUCGAGUUAUCUCAAAGUUUCAUUUUAUUAAAAAUAUGAUACAUCUGAUACAAUAAUAUAUCAUCUCUCCCACGCCUUUCAGUCUUAUUAUAAAACGACGGGAAGAAAAAACCUCAGCCAGUUAUCGAGGUUGCUCUAUUCCGUUAUUUCAAUAUUAAAAAGAGUAAUAUUAUACACAGUCUCAAUCUUAGUAGAAGUCGUAGGUUUGAAGAAAGAUAUCUCUAUAUAAAUGAUAUAUAACCCUUUUCUCAAUUAAGCUUCCCCAUCACAGAGCAAUUAUUGAAUUAAUGUUUUAAGAUCGACAGAAUCUCAGUGCAACCGGUAAUAAGUCAUCGAUCGAAAGGACUGGAAAGUCAUGAACCAGAAAUUAAAAGCUUUCGUGUUACAAAAAAAAAAAAAAAAAGGCUUUCUUUGUUUUAAUCAUGUUCAAGAUUAAAAACUUGACAACUACACUUUAUAGCCUAUAUUUGUACUAAUGCCUUUGCUAGAUUUU